rnacentral:rRNA from 1 species
GAUGAACGCUGGCGGCGUGCCUAAUACAUGCAAGUCGAGCGAACAGACGAGGAGCUUGCUCCUCUGACGUUAGCGGCGGACGGGUGAGUAACACGUGGAUAACCUACCUAUAAGACUGGGAUAACUUCGGGAAACCGGAGCUAAUACCGGAUAAUAUAUUGAACCGCAUGGUUCAAUAGUGAAAGACGGUUUUGCUGUCACUUAUAGAUGGAUCCGCGCCGCAUUAGCUAGUUGGUAAGGUAACGGCUUACCAAGGCGACGAUGCGUAGCCGACCUGAGAGGGUGAGGAGCCACACUGGAAGUGAGGCACGGGACAGGCUCGUACGGGAGGCAGGCGUGGGGAAGAUUGCAGAAGGGGCGCAAGGCUGAUGAAGCCAUGACGCGUGGAGGAAGAAGGACUUCGGGUUGUAAAGUACGUUCAGCGGGGAGGAAGGGAGGAAAGUUAAUACCGCUGCUCAUUGACGGUCCCAGAAGCAGAAGAACCGGCUAACUCCGUG